UCGGUUCUUCUCUUGACGGUUUUUUAAACCCGCCUCUGCGCGGCUCGAGGCAACUCGAUACCCUCGGCUCGACUCGUGCCGGCAGGACUCCGGUCCUCGAAACGCGGUCGUCACCCAUGCCAUUAGUUUCAGAAUGUAACCGCAGGCAGCAAUGCCAAUGCAAUCAAUUA
rnacentral:misc_RNA from 1 species